CACGUAGGGCGCAAGCGUUGUCCGGAAUUAUUGGGCGUAAAGAGCUCGUAGGCGGUCUGUUGCGUCCGCUGUGAAAACUCGGGGCUUAACCCCGAGCCUGCAGUGGAUACGGGCAGACUAGAGGUAGGUAGGGGAGAAUGGAAUUCCCGGUGUGGCGGUGAAAUGCGCAGAUAUCGGGAGGAACACCGGUGGCGAAGGCGGUUCUCUGGGCCUUACCUGACGUUGAGGAGCGAAAGCGUGGGGAGCGAACAGG
rnacentral:rRNA from 1 species